AGAAACAGAAGGAAGAAAGGUAUUAAAAAAGGAAGCAAAGGCAGGAGGAGAAAGAAAGGCAAUGUCCUUUUCGGUAUUUUCGAUCCUUUUCUUCAUUGUGUCUUCCGUUUUCUUU
rnacentral:ribozyme from 11 species